rnacentral:misc_RNA from 1 species
GCGUGGUUUGCUCGCGAUAUUUGCUAAUCAGUAUUGUUGCUUGGACUGUGUAUCUUUCGGUGGUUUUCUUCAGUUUUUUUCGUAUCUUUGUGAUUUGGCGUGUACAGAGGAAGAUCCUAGUUGUAUCUAAAAGUGUGCAGCUAAGGAGAGAAUCAAGCACAAGGAAAUGGCAAAAGCUUGAAGAAGAUAUGCUGAAUCGUUUGACACCAUCAAACAUCAGGAAGUUGGAGAAAAGCGCAGCAGCUCGAUAGGCGGCUAAGAUCAUUGACCAAUACUCCGAUCCAGCUGAGUCCACGCCUGUCACUCUAUCCAGUUUUACCUUGGUUAGGGAUUUCCUGUUCACUCAAAUCUUUAUAGACAAUGCCAAUCGACCAGGUGUCCUAGCACAUAAUGACGAUGGAGGAAUUUACAAACAUCCGAAAGCAAGAUGACUAUUACCUCAUAACAGUGAAGAAGCACAAAACUGCACAUGUUCAUGGACCAGCUCGUGUUGUAUUGAGUGAAAAACUGAAGGCGUGGCUGUCAAUAUUCGUUGGCAUAAUGCGAGCCCAUGUUACCACCCGAAUGAAUGGCCCAGUAUUCAUAUCCUGGAACGGAAACCCUAUGAAUUCUGUGCACAUCACUAAGGCAGUACAAUCUGUCUUUAAAAAAGCUGGAGUGGAUGUUAAAGUAACAUCGACAUCGUUUCGGAAAGCAGCAGUGACGAAAGUUAAUGUCGAUAAGCCAGAGAUGAGUGCGAAAUUGGCUAGCCUUAUGGCUCACAACGAAGCGACGGCAAAGAGAUAUUAUCUCCUGACAGAGAAAUCCAAAACUUCCAUAGAGGCUUCACGAAAUCUUGGUCGCCUGAUGCGAACUGAUGACGAGUGUGGAGAUAACAUUGAGACUCCUUCAUAUGGCAGUUCAUUUAGCUACGUUAAAUACGAGAAAUACAACGGGUCAAAGACAAGAUUCUCUCCACGGAUUCUGCGUAGAAGGAUCGACUUGCUUUUUCCGGACAAAGAAGUCUAUUAAUGAAGUAUGAAUAUUUAUGGAAGACGAAAUCCGAAUUGCAAUUCUCUAAUGAAUACAUUUGUCAUUGGAAUAUGGGUCCCCAGAGGGGCAUAAAAUUUUCUAGUCCACAGGAUGACUGGCAAACAG